ensembl:lncRNA
AUAGAUUAAAUCACUUUUAGAGUGUCAUAUGAGGAUUUUCACAAUAGUAUUAUAACUCUGUAUCUCUCUUCACUGACAGGGGGAGGCAGGGCCAGAUGGUAGUCCAGGCACACCUGGAGAAGCUGGCAAGCCUGGAACAAAAGGUAGACGAGGCCCUGCAGGAAUACCGGGUGCCAGGGGACCUCCAGGAGCACCGGGAUUACAAGGAACCUCUGGGGCUCCAGGGCCAGUGGGGAUAAUUGGUCCUCCUGGUGGUCCAGGACAGAAAGGGCUUCCUGGUUUACCUGGACCUCAGGUAUGCUUCCAAAUCCCUACAU